rnacentral:rRNA from 1 species
GAUGAACGCUGGCGGCGUGCCUAAUACAUGCAAGUCGAGCGAACGGACGAGGAGCUUGCUUCUCUGAUGUUAGCGGCGGACGGGUGAGUAACACGUGGAUAACCUACCUAUAAGACUGGGAUAACUUCGGGAAACCGUAGCUAAUACCGGAUAAUAUUUUGAACCGCAUGGUUCAAUAGUGAAAGACGGUCUUGCUGUCACUUAUAGAUGGAUCCGCGCUGCAUUAGCUAGUUGGUAAGGUAACGGCUUACCAAGGCAACGAUGCAUAGCCGACCUGAGAGGGUGAUCGGCCACACUGGAACUGAGACACGGUCCAGACUCCUACGGGAGGCAGCAGUAGGGAAUCUUCCGCAAAGGGCGAAAGCCUGACGGAGCAACGCCGCGUGAGUGAUGAAGGUCUUCGGAUCGUAAAACUCUGUUAUUAGGGAAGAACAAAUGUGUAAGUAACUGUGCACAUCUUGACGGUACCUAAUCAGAAAGCCACGGCUAACUACGUG